CACUGCUUAUCUCAGACUUCACUUCUUCUCCUCUUUCUUCUUUUGCUGCGUUCUUUGUCUUCCUUUUUGAUAGUCUUCAACAUAAAUAAAUAAAAACACAUAUGCAGUGUUGAUUGUACCACUACCUUACCUUCAGGCCUUUAUUAUUUUGACUCUUCUCUCAUACAGUCAUAUAACUUCACUUACUCUUUUCCACUCUCCCACCUUCCUACUUAUUCCUUAACACUCCCAAGCCAGCCCUGUUCUCUUUGCUCCACUCCAUGGCCGAGAUUCUCUCUCCUCCAGUCUCGCCCAUUCUCUUGCUUGCUCGUCUCCGCCAGUACUGUGAACUUAGAUUUGUGAAGAUGUACUGGCAAUACAUGAGAAGAAGACGUAGAAAACGACACCAUUGCCAAAAUGAUAUUUUUCCAUGACAUUGUUAUCUCUUCCUUCAAGUCUUAUAUUUAAAGCCAUAUUCUGUUUUCUUUUUCCCUCUAUUUGGUUGUUCUAGUUAGUGUAAUCUUUUGCAGGAGUUUGGAAUGGGAUGGUUAGGAAAGAUUUCAACCACCGAAGCUGCUCGGGUUUGGCACAUAUGGCAGAACCUUAUUCAAAACCGUUGCUGAGCUGGUGAUAGUGUACCACAAGAAAAAGAAAUUCUUCGGCCACCUUCUCAGGAAAUUACGCUUCUUCCCCCAUCUCAGGGUGAAAUAUCCAUUCAAUCCUAUUAAGAACGUGACUCGCCGUGAAUUUCUUUGAGGUAAGAAGACAUAUCUAUUACAUAUGAGGUAUAUGGUGGCUAAGCUGGUGAAGACCUAUUUCGAAAAUCAAAUUGGGAACAAGGGUAGUUGUGUUGGUUUCAUGCUAGACAGUUUCAAUUGUAUAAUGCUAAUCCAUAUGACUCUACCAGAAGUUGUAGGUUGUAGUGCACUCAAAUGUCAACAAAGAUAUGAAUAACUUGUUUCCAGAAUUUUGUUCAAAAUUGCUUGAUGCAAAUCUUCCGUGGGCUUCAUAGGCAGGAAGUUCACCUUAGAGGAAAAAAUUUAGUAAAUAUUCUAUUUACUAAUCCAUAUGACUCUAUUAGAAGUUCUAGGUUUGUCUAAUGCUUUGUUACUAGUGUAAAUAGAAAUUUUUCUAAAUUUAAUUGUAUAAUGAUAAGCUGUCUUCUAUUGUUACCCAUUACUAAUGUUAUC